AAAAAGACAAACCCUGGUUUCCGUGUCCAAUGUUUGACCGUUCGUCUUAUUUGAAAAAAUUAUAAAAAAAAUUAAAAAGACAAGUCACGCAUAAAAUAUUAAUCAUGUUUUAUCAUCUAACAACAAUGAAAAUACGAAUUAUAAAAAAAUUUCAUAUAAGACAGACAGUCAAAGUUGGACACGGAAACCUAGGGUUUGCCUUUUU
rnacentral:pre_miRNA from 1 species